UAAACUUUGGGAGAAGAUGCUGAAGCAAUGG
rnacentral:piRNA from 1 species